CCCUUAGAUGUCCUGGGUCGCACGCGUGCUACACUGAUGCAUACAGCGAGUACUUUCCAGCUCCGCGAGGCAGCUGGUAAUCAGCAAUAUGCAUCGUGCUGGGGAUAGAUCUUUGGAAUUAUAGAUCUUGAACGAGGAAUUCCUAGUAAGCGCAAGUCAUUAGCUUGCGCUGAUUAAGUCCCUGCCCUUUGUACACACCGCCCGUCGCUCCUACCGAUUUCGAGUGAUUCGGUGAACCUUUUGGACAGCGUCUGUCCUCGUGUCAGAUGCUGAAAGUCAAGUAAACCAUAUCACUUAGAGGAAGGAGAAGUCGUAACA
rnacentral:rRNA from 1 species